UCGAGCACGCGCGUGUGGCAUAUCAAUAAGCGGAGGAAAAGAAACUAACAAGGAUUCCCUUAGUAACGGCGAGUGAAGCGGGAAGAGCUCAAAUUUGAAAUCUUCAAGGUUCUACCUUGACGAAUUGUAGUUUAUAGAAGUGUUUUUCUGUUAGUAGGAGUGGCAAAAGUUCUUUGGAAUAGGACAUCAUAGAGGGUGAGAAUCCCGUAUUUGGUCAUUCCUUCCUAGCGUUGUGAUACACUUUCAACGAGUCGGAUUGUUUGGGAAUGCAGUCCAAAAUGGGUGGUAAAUUUCAUCUAAAGCUAAAUAUUGGCGAGAGACCGAUAGCGAACAAGUACCGUGAGGGAAAGAUGAAGAGAACUUUGAAAAGAGAGUUAAACAGUACGUGAAAUUGUCAAAAGGGAAGCGUUUGACACCAGUGUUGUUUUUCCGAAAAUCAAUUACGAAUGUUUUGUUUUUGAGGAGUUAUGACUUCAUCGGCUUGCUUCCCUCUUUAUGAAACUUUCUUAAUGCACUUUUCGGUUAACAAGUCAACAUCAAUUUCUUUUGUUGUAAAAGGGUAUGAGGAAGGUGGCUUUCUUUUCGGAGAAAGUGUUUAUAGCCUUGUAGCCUCUGCAAUCGGAGAGAUUGAGGUCUGCAGCGUAGAUCCUUCGGGGUUAGAUACAGUUUGUGCUAAGUUAUAGCUUUUCAUAGACAACUUGUUGACUAUGUUUAGUCUUGUAGCUUACUCGCUUAUGCUAUUUUACCUACGCUUAGGAUGUUGAUGUGAUACUGCGAGCA
rnacentral:rRNA from 1 species